UGGGGAAUAUUGGACAAUGGGCGCAAGCCUGAUCCAGCCAUGCCGCGUGAGUGACGAAGGCCUUAGGGUUGUAAAGCUCUUUUGGCGGGGACGAUAAUGACGGUACCCGCAGAAUAAGCCCCGGCUAACUUCGUGCCAGCAGCCGCGGUAAUACGAAGGGGGCUAGCGUUGUUCGGAAUCACUGGGCGUAAAGCGCACGUAGGCGGAUUUGUAAGUCAGGGGUGAAAUCCCGGGGCUCAACCUCGGAACUGCCUUUGAUACUGCAAGUCUCGAGUUCGGGAGAGGUGAGUGGAAUUCCUAGUGUAGAGGUGAAAUUCGUAGAUAUUAGGAAGAACACCAGUGGCGAAGGCGGCUCACUGGCCCGAUACUGACGCUGAGGUGCGAAAGCGUGGGGAGCAACAGGAUUAGAUACCCAUGUAGUCCCUGAGCGGGCUGGCAAGGCGCAU
rnacentral:rRNA from 1 species